rnacentral:miRNA from 1 species
CAAAUUCGGUUCUAGAGAGGUU